AGAACGCUGGCGGCAGGCCUAACACAUGCAAGUCGAACGGUAACAUUUCUAGCUUGCUAGAAGAUGACGAGUGGCGGACGGGUGAGUAAUGCUUGGGAACUUGCCUUCAGGAGGGGGAUAACAGUUGGAAACGACUGCUAAUACCGCAUAAUGUCUUCGGACCAAAGCGGGCUUUGGCUCCACCUGAAAGAGAGGCCCAAGUGAGAUUAGCUAGUUGGUAAGGUAACGGCUUACCAAGGCGACGAUCUCUAGCUGUUCUGAGAGGAAGAUCAGCCACACUGGGACUGAGACACGGCCCAGACUCCUACGGGAGGCAGCAGUGGGGAAUAUUGCACAAUGGGGGAAACCCUGAUGCAGCCAUGCCGCGUGUGUGAAGAAGGCCUUCGGGUUGUAAAGCACUUUCAGUUGUGAGGAAAAGUUGGUAGUUAAUACCUGCCAGCCGUGACGUUAACAACAGAAGAAGCACCGGCUAACUCCGUGCCAGCAGCCGCGGUAAUACGGAGGGUGCGAGCGUUAAUCGGAAUUACUGGGCGUAAAGCGCACGCAGGCGGUUUGUUAAGCUAGAUGUGAAAGCCCCGGGCUCAACCUGGGAUGGUCAUUUAGAACUGGCAGACUAGAGUCUUGGAGAGGGGAGUGGAAUUCCAGGUGUAGCGGUGAAAUGCGUAGAUAUCUGGAGGAACAUCAGUGGCGAAGGGACUCCCUGGCCAAAGACUGACGCUCAUGUGCGAAAGUGUGGGUAGCGAACAGGAUUAGAUACCCUGGUAGUCCACCGUA
rnacentral:rRNA from 1 species